GCAAUGCCGCGUGCAGGAUGAAGGCCUUCGGGUUGUAAACUGCUUUUGUACGGAACGAAACGGUCUGCCCUAAUACGGUGGGCUAAUGACGGUACCGUAAGAAUAAGCACCGGCUAACUACGUGCCAGCAGCCGCGGUAAUACGUAGGGUGCGAGCGUUAAUCGGAAUUACUGGGCGUAAAGCGUGCGCAGGCGGUUAUAUAAGACAGAUGUGAAAUCCCCGGGCUCAACCUGGGACCUGCAUUUGUGACUGUAUAGCUAGAGUACGGUAGAGGGGGAUGGAAUUCCGCGUGUAGCAGUGAAAUGCGUAGAUAUGCGGAGGAACACCGAUGGCGAAGGCAAUCCCCUGGACCUGUACUGACGCUCAUGCACGAAAGCGUGGGGAGCAAACAGGAUUAGAUACCCUGGUAGUCCACGCCCUAAACGAUGUCAACUGGUUGUUGGGUCUUCACUGACUCAGUAACGAAGCU
rnacentral:rRNA from 1 species